AGUCCAAUCAGAGAGUGCUGCAAGCACCUCUACCGGUUUCGAAACUUAUUAGUCUCUCAUCAGGAGGCACAUAUGCUGCUCUCCCUGAUCCAACCAAAACAAACCCCAGCGUGCAGUCCCGAAUUGCAACGAACGAAAUGGCAUAGAUGCCCUAGCGGCAACUGCUAGCAAAAGACUAAGUUUUCACUCUAAUGGCAUAUAACAUAUCCCACCAGAAUGAAAACAAUGGGAACCUUCUCUGGUUACACCUCCGAGGCUUCUACAAUUUGCAAGCCAUACGGCUUGCCGUCUACAUUGCUUUCAUUCUGGUGGGAUAUGUUAUAUGCCAUUAGAGUGAAAACUUAGUCUUUUGCUAGCAGUUGCCGCUAGGGCAUCUAUGCCAUUUCGUUCGUUGCAAUUCGGGACUGCACGCUGGGGUUUGUUUUGGUUGGAUCAGGGAGAGCAGCAUAUGUGCCUCCUGAUGAGAGACUAAUAAGUUUCGAAACCGGUAGAGGUGCUUGCAGCACUCUCUGAUUGGACUGGAAUAUGGUUCGGCUGUAUUUUCGUUUUGCAACGAAAUUGAAAAUGGUUAUUCAUUUUUGAUUUACAUUUACUCUGUGUGGAGUAUGAAGGGAACCAGUCUCGUUGGAACUUUACCGCGCUGAGCAGAUGUGACGUGAAUUGUAAAUUGUAGAAUUUCCUCAUCUUCCUUAGUCUCAGCAUCCGUAUGGCUUGCAAAUUGUAGAAGCCUCGGAGGUGUAACCAGAGAAGGUUCCCAUUGUUUUCAUUCUGGUGGGAUAUGUUAUAUGCCAUUAGAGUGAAAACUUAGUCUUUUGCUAGCAGUUGCCGCUAGGGCAUCUAUGCCAUUUCGUUCGUUGCAAUUCGGGACUGCACGCUGGGGUUUGUUUUGGUUGGAUCAGGGAGAGCAGCAUAUGUGCCUCCUGAUGAGAGACUAAUAAGUUUCGAAACCGGUAGAGGUGCUUGCAGCACUCUCUGAUUGGACUGGAAUAUGGUUCGGCUGUAUUUUCGUUUUGCAACGAAAUUGAAAAUGGUUAUUCAUUUUUGAUUUACAUUUACUCUGUGUGGAGUAUGAAGGGAACCAGUCUCGUUGGAACUUUACCGCGCUGAGCAGAUGUGACGUGAAUUGUAAAUUGUAGAAUUCCCUCAUCUUCCUUAGUCUCAGCAUCCGUAUGGCUUGCAAAUUGUAGAAGCCUCGGAGGUGUAACCAGAGAAGGUUCCCAUUGUUUUCAUUCUGGUGGGAUAUGUUAUAUGCCAUUAGAGUGAAAACUUAGUCUUUUGCUAGCAGUUGCCGCUAGGGCAUCUAUGCCAUUUCGUUCGUUGCAAUUCGGGACUGCACGCUGGGGUUUGUUUUGGUUGGAUCAGGGAGAGCAGCAUAUGUGCCUCCUGAUGAGAGACUAAUAAGUUUCGAAACCGGUAGAGGUGCUUGCAGCACUCUCUGAUUGGACUGGAAUAUGGUUCGGCUGUAUUUUCGUUUUGCAACGAAAUUGAAAAUGGUUAUUCAUUUUUGAUUUACAUUUACUCUGUGUGGAGUAUGAAGGGAACCAGUCUCGUUGGAACUUUACCGCGCUGAGCAGAUGUGACGUGAAUUGUAAAUUGUAGAAUUCCCUCAUCUUCCUUAGUCUCAGCAUCCGUAUGGCUUGCAAAUUGUAGAAGCCUCGGAGGUGUAACCAGAGAAGGUUCCCAUUGUUUUCAUUCUGGUGGGAUAUGUUAUAUGCCAUUAGAGUGAAAACUUAGUCUUUUGCUAGCAGUUGCCGCUAGGGCAUCUAUGCCAUUUCGUUCGUUGCAAUUCGGGACUGCACGCUGGGGUUUGUUUUGGUUGGAUCAGGGAGAGCAGCAUAUGUGCCUCCUGAUGAGAGACUAAUAAGUUUCGAAACCGGUAGAGGUGCUUGCAGCACUCUCUGAUUGGACUGGAAUAUGGUUCGGCUGUAUUUUCGUUUUGCAACGAAAUUGAAAAUGGUUAUUCAUUUUUGAUUUACAUUUACUCUGUGUGGAGUAUGAAGGGAACCAGUCUCGUUGGAACUUUACCGCGCUGAGCAGAUGUGACGUGAAUUGUAAAUUGUAGAAUUCCCUCAUCUUCCUUAGUCUCAGCAUCCGUAUGGCUUGCAAAUUGUAGAAGCCUCGGAGGUGUAACCAGAGAAGGUUCCCAUUGUUUUCAUUCUGGUGGGAUAUGUUAUAUGCCAUUAGAGUGAAAACUUAGUCUUUUGCUAGCAGUUGCCGCUAGGGCAUCUAUGCCAUUUCGUUCGUUGCAAUUCGGGACUGCACGCUGGGGUUUGUUUUGGUUGGAUCAGGGAGAGCAGCAUAUGUGCCUCCUGAUGAGAGACUAAUAAGUUUCGAAACCGGUAGAGGUGCUUGCAGCACUCUCUGAUUGGACUGGAAUAUGGUUCGGCUGUAUUUUCGUUUUGCAACGAAAUUGAAAAUGGUUAUUCAUUUUUGAUUUACAUUUACUCUGUGUGGAGUAUGAAGGGAACCAGUCUCGUUGGAACUUUACCGCGCUGAGCAGAUGUGACGUGAAUUGUAAAUUGUAGAAUUCCCUCAUCUUCCUUAGUCUCAGCAUCCGUAUGGCUUGCAAAUUGUAGAAGCCUCGGAGGUGUAACCAGAGAAGGUUCCCAUUGUUUUCAUUCUGGUGGGAUAUGUUAUAUGCCAUUAGAGUGAAAACUUAGUCUUUUGAGUAUUUCUGAUUACUGAGCUAAUAUUCGAAAUCAAACAUACUAAUAUUAUACGUCAGAAAAAGAAGCUUGUCAGCGUUUUCUCGUAACAAAUUAGCUCUUCUAAACUGUUACAAAACAUUUGCAUUCAUAGUAGUGAUAGUCGAUGUUUUGCCAUUAAUAUUUAGUAGUCCAGGGCGCAUCUGUUUUGAGAUGGACGUUGAGAGGUGACUCAAAUUUUUUUACAGAAAUUGCUUGAAAAUAACUCCAAUAUUAAUAUUUGAGUUAUCCUCCCACUCAAAAUUGUCCGGAACAUUGGUUAAAUAAUCAAAAUGUCAAUAUAUGAAGGAAAAAUUAGAUUUUUUAUUGGUUUUUUGAUUAUAACUUUAAAACUAUUCAUUUCUGAGAAAAGAUGUACUAACAUAAAAGUUGCGUAAUUAAAUUUCCUACAAUACAAAAUUGGUUAAUAAUUUAAAAAAUAGUCACCCUUGUUGCAAAAUAGCAAUAAUUGCGAAAAAAAACCAUACAAAAACAAGUAUUUGUAUUUUACGUUUUUCAACCAUUUACGCUACACUUAGGACUUUAUGAUAUAGUAAAACAACACUGUAAAUUUGAUUGAGAUCGGUUUGAUAGAUUUUGCAAAAUAAAUUUUGCAAUCCAGCUUUCGCAAAAAAAAAUUCAGCUUUUUAAAUGUUGCAGGACUGAAAAUAAAGCAGAUAGCACGUUGACUUUUUUUUUGCUUAUAGAAGUGUACUGAAUUUUUUUAAAUAAACAUUAAUUUUUGGUGCUACGCGCAGGACAGCGGUGUUCGAUUCACACUAGUUGAUUUCCACCAAUAUUUCUUCCAAUUUUUAUCUAAUAUAUUAUUUUCUUACUCUAUAUUUUGUUGUAUUUUAAUAUUUUAAUUCCACAAAAAUCAAACUAAUUUUAUUAUUGUUUGUGAAAUAUUGUUUAAAUAAUUGCAUAUGUUUAAAAAUAAUAAACUUUUAUUCUCUAAGUUAAAAUAUAUGAACAAAGAAAGUCUUUGCUAAAAAAAGUGUUAUUUCAAAAGAUAGAGUAUGUGUUUUUAUUUUGCAAUAAACAAAUUUAUUUAUUUAUUUAUAUCGAAAUGUAAUACAAAUUAAAAUGUAUCAAUCAUUAUCAAAGGUCAUUGGAAUGCCCAAUCAGAGCAAACUAUCCGCUGUCCUGCGCGUAGCACCAAUAAUAAAUGUUUAUUUAAAAAAAUUCCUGACGCCGUGGUAGUUAAUCAAUUUUAAUUUUGCAAAUUGAAAAUGAAAGGUUACACUUCUAUACUAAAAAAAAAUUUCAACUGGCUAUCUGCUUUAUUUUCAGUCCUGUAACAUUAUGAAAAAAUGAAUUUUUUUGCGAAAGCUGAAUUGCAAAAUCUAUUGAACCGAUCUUAAUGAAAUUUACAGUACUCUUUUACUGUAUCAUAAAGUUUUUCUGAGUGAAAUAUGAAGGUCCUAAGUGUAGCAUAAAUGGUUGAAAAAUGUAAAAGGCGAAUACUUGUUUUUGUAUGGUGUUUUCGCAAUUAUUGCUAUUUUGCGACAAGGGUGACUAUUUUUUAAAUUUGUAACUAAUUCUAUAUUGUAGGAAAUUUAAUUACGCAACUUUGUCAGUACAAAUUUUCUUGGAAAUGAAUACUUUUAAAGUUAUAAUCAAAAAACGAAGAAAUAAAUCGAAUUUUUCCUUAAUUUUUUGACAUUUUGAUUAUUUAAACAAUGUUCCGGACCUUUUUGAGAGGGAGGAUAACUCAAAUAUUAUUAUUUGAGUUAUUUUCAAGCAAUUUCUGUAAAAAAAUUUGAGUCACCUCUCAACGUCCAAAUGUACUAAUAUUUUUACAGAUGCACCCUGGUCUAUAGGUAGUCAAAACACCAGUAAUCUUGAGUUUUAACAAAUACAAUAAAAUUAAUAGUUUCUCAGAAUGUUACUACGUCAGAAAUAUUUGAAGAUCUUGGAAGAUCUUUACGACAUCUUGUCCUAUUGUUAAAAUUUAUAUCCUACCUACUACCUGAAAGUUUGUAAAACAUUUUAGUUUAGAGUAUAAAAUAGAGUGUAAGUGUAAAUAUUAUAAAAAUUAUCGCCGAAGCAUAUUGUUUAGAGAUUAUUUUAUAGGUAUACAUAGUAUAGUAUACUGACAGAGCAUUUUAUUAUUCCACCUUCGGCGAAACCUUCGGCUUCGUUUUGGCAGAAGCCGAAUUUUGGCCGAAGGUUUAAAUAUUGGCGGAAGGUGGCCGAAGCCGAUUAAUCGGUCGGUCUCUACAGUUAAUACAGUAUAUCGGAACUACAUUUGAAAUAGUCGACCAAUACAAAAGUUCGAAACACAUAAAUCAUAGCAACGUUAAGAUCGGCAUGUAUAAAAUUAUCGUUGAAUAUUAACUGCAUAUGUAAUACCGUUUUUAUUUUACUUAUUCUGUAUAUUGUUGGCAUUGGCAUGUAGCGUUUUUAAAACUAUUUGUUGUUAAUUAAAAUAUACCGAGGUAAUGGUCAAUCAAUUAUUUCUAGUCUAUCGUACUUUAAAUUAAAUGGAAUAAUAUAACAAAGAGAACAUGAUGUUCUCUUAUACAUAGAUACUUUGGUUCCAAAAAUUAUAAAUGUAUGUAUUCAUAUAAAUUGUUUCAAACUAUAAAAACAUGCAAAAUAGGCAAAGCUAUUUUAAUCUUAAUGAUACAUUUAUAGAAAUGCCAAAAUACCAAUAUUGGGACAGAGAAUUUUUUUUCUUUAUAGAGUUUUGAUAGGCAGUUAUCUUUUUUGGAUUAUUCCUACUCAAUUCGUACUACUUUCGUUGACAGGUUUUUCUUUUGGUUUUUUUUUUUUUAAGUUUCUCCAUUUUUCAUUUCGUGUUAUUUUUGAGAUUUCUAAUUGCAGAUUGUUAACUGCUUUGGAAAUUUCCAGUUAAUUAUCUUUUUAUUUUUCGUUAUUAUUCAGAAUUUUACAAAAUAAUACAAAGAUCAUUAUUUUAAUAAAGUUAAUUUUUUUAAGAAUGUUUAGGAGAUUCCAGGCUUUUCUUUUAGAUUUACAACUUUUUCAGGUUUUCGUUAGUUGACUAUUAUUUUCCGAUUUUCUAUAUUGUAUUAAUUAUAUUGCAUUCCUCUUCAUUUAUAUUUCUUCACUCAUUUUCAAACUUUUGAUCUAAUUUCCGCUUUUUUCAGUUACGAUUUUUUCAUGUUUUAGACAUCUCUCAACAAUAUAAAGGGCUAUUUUAGGUUUUUUUUACCGUUAUGUUGGUCUAUUUUUUAUUUUGGGAAUUUUUCCUAUUUUGUUUAUUUGUAUAAAUGUUUACAAUAUCAUUUGUUUUUUUGGUUAUAAUAUAUCUGUUUAUUUUGACUUUUCUUCGUUAUAAGUUCCUCUGCUAUUUAUACGCUUUCAAGAUAUAUUUUCGGGUUUUAUAGAUGUCAUUUUUUCAAAUUUUAUGGGGCGUCCAAUAUCCAGAGCUAACCUCAAGGUUUUUAGAGGUAUCACUAUUUUAGGUUGUUUCUUCAAAUAUUUUUAGAUACUUUCUCGUUUAUAUCGUUCUUUUAAAGGAUUUUUAAAAAUUAUAUGUAGUUAAAUUGUGUCUUGAAAGUUGUUUAGGAAAAUUUUAAGUAUUUCUUUAUCUUUUAAAGAGAUUUUCUGGAGUUUUAGGAUUUAAAAUAUUUGUAUAGUAUUAUAAAAUCCAAAGUGAUUCCACAGCUUUGAAUUAGCAUUCGCUAUUGCAAAUUAUUUAUUUCUUAAUAAUAUUGCCAGCCUCGGUAUAUUUUUUUAAUCUUGUUGACAAAUUUUAUUAGUUUAUUUAUUAUUUUAAAUGUGAUUUUGAAAUGCAGAAAUAACAGAAGAGUUAAUACCAUUUGUAAAUUAAGAAACUUUAAUAUAACUAGUAUUUAUUUUUAA